CAGAGACACAUACAGACACAUACAGACACAUACACACAUUACACACACACAUGCACAGAGACACACACAGACACAUAACACACAGAGACACACACAUUACACACACACACAUUCACAGCUCAGGCAACCUAAGCUAUACUGUCACCCAUCUGUUUAAUUUUCAGAGAGAUAUCUACGGAGUCAUUCAUUUAAGAGAUUAUGGGACAUCUAUGGCCAGAUGCUGCACCAGGGUGACUGGACCAGCCAAGAAGGACUUUGCCCUUCUUUGUGCCCCUACCUUGGUCUCCUGCACAAGAAUUACCUGGUUGCCUCGGCAUUUUCUUGGCCCUCCCUGAGUUGCUGAGAAACUUCUGUCUUGGGAUCUUUAGUGAUCCAAAAGAAUGUCAUUCAUCCAAGAUCCUGGGGGUCACUGCAAGAAGGGUUAGGUGUGCCUCCCCCAAGGGAGGGGAUCUGAACAUCCCCAGGUGCGUUUGAAAUCCCAGGGAGCCUCACAGUCACUGGAAAAGAGAACGUUGGUGUCAAGCAAAGGAACACACAGACGAAGCAAAAACAGUUCAGCAAGGUGAUUUGUUCCGGCAGGAAGUGCAAGCCACAGCCGACAGCAGCACACCAAGUCAAAGCGGCCUCUGUCUUUAUCACUGGUAUAGGUGGUGCCUUCAUGUCAUGGCUGGGAGCUCAGUGUCACAAUCUGACAGGUGGCUAACUGUCACAAAGGAGAAGAACAUAUGAGCCCUCAUUGGGUUAAAUGCCUUUGAUUAAAAAAAAAAAAAAAAAAAAA